rnacentral:rRNA from 1 species
CAGUCGCCGCGGUAAUACGAAGGGGGCUAGCGUUGCUCGGAAUUACUGGGCGUAAAGGGCGCGUAGGCGGACAGUUCAGUCGGGGGUGAAAGCCCGGGGCUCAACCUCGGAAUUGCCUUCGAUACUGGCUGUCUUGAGUAUGAGAGAGGUGUGUGGAACUCCGAGUAUAGAGGUGAAAUUCGUAGAUAUUCGGAAGAACACCAGUGGCGAAGGCGACACACUGGCUCAUUACUGACGCUGAGGCGCGAAAGCGUGGGGAGCAAACAGGAUUAGAUACCCCCGUAGUCCCUGUCUCUUAUAC